rnacentral:rRNA from 1 species
AUUGAACGCUGGCGGCAGGCCUAACACAUGCAAGUCGAGCGGGGUUUUCGGACCUAGCGGCGGACGGGUGAGUAAUGCGUAGGAAGCUACCCGAUAGAGGGGGAUACCAGUUGGAAACGACUGUUAAUACCGCAUAAUGUCUACGGACCAAAGUGUGGGACCUUCGGGCCACAUGCUAUCGGAUGCGCCUACGUGGGAUUAGCUAGUUGGUGAGGUAAUGGCUCACCAAGGCGACGAUCCCUAGCUGGUUUGAGAGGAUGAUCAGCCACACUGGGACUGAGACACGGUCCAGACUCCGACGGAAGGCAGCAGUGGGGAAUAUUGGACAAUGGGCGCAAGCCUGAUCCAGCCAUGCCGCGUGUGUGAAGAAGGCCUUCGGGUUGUAAAGCACUUUCAGUAGGGAGGAAGCGUUGUGUGUUAAUAGUACACAGCGUUGACGUUACCUACAGAAGAAGCACCGGCUAACUCUGUGCCAGCCGCCGCCGUAACAC